UAGUACUGAGGGGACUUCGUGUGA
rnacentral:piRNA from 1 species